CUUGCGCUCACCCCUCUGUCAAAUUGUGCAGUACCGGGUAAUAAAAGUAGUCCAUUGAAUUUCCCGCCAGCUUGUCAAAACCCGCCCAAUUCUGUGGUACUUCGGCUAAAAGUAGUCCAUGAAUGUGAAGUGUCGGGCGUGCUAUUUUGUUAUUUCAUUAAAAUAAACGUAUGGAAAUUAAAAAAAAUUAACGUCGAGAAACGUUUGUUAUCAUAAGUGAUUUAUAUACAAUUCAUUUUGAAUGUUCGACUAAAAUAUCGCGGAGGAAUCGUCGCCAGCUUCAAUCCGGGCUAACUCUUCUACAAACCACAAACUAUAUCUGGACAGCGUUGCCACUACAGUAAUGGUGAAUGACAAAGAGGUGAAUGUGCGGACCAUUACAGUGGAGGACCGUACUGGGAAGGUGAAAGUCAGCCUGUGGCGCAACAUUGCAGCAGAGCCUGUGGUGUUGGGGAUGUUGUUGCCAUCACCAAUAUUGUUGUCAACAGCAAGAGAUAUAACAAUGAGGAAUCCCUGUCGUCAACACAAUUUACAAAGAUAGAGGUUACUGACAUGCCAAACACCGAGAUGACGGCCACCAUUCUAGGACUUGACCUGGGUGAUGUGGAAUCCCAGUUACUCACAGAACAGGAUGGAAUCUUCAAUGUAUCAAACGAAGUGCUAGUUGCAGCCUUUCAGUGUCAGUUGGAAGACAUUACGGCCAAACUACCAAAAACACUGAAUUUCAUAGCCAAAGGACAGUCUGUGGUCACCUUUAAUGAGUGAAAAAUCAUGUUCAAAGUUUAUAGUUUAGAGAUGUUUACUUUUCAUACACUGGAGCAUGACAGUCUGUGGUCACCUUUAAUGAGUGAAAAAUCAUGUUCAUAGUUUAUAGUUUAGAGAUGUUUACUUUUCAUACACUGGAGCAUUCAUAGUGUUGCCUGUUAUAUCAUUCCAUCACCAAGAAUUACCAAACUUGCUAGCUCUUGACCUGGGUGGUGUGGAAUCAAGCUUAGUCACAGAACAGGAUGGAAUCUUCACUAAAUCGAACGAGGAUCUAGUUAUCACCUAGGAUUACCAAACUUAGUGUGAGGAUGCAUAUAUUGAAUGCAGCGUUCCACUUUCAUCAGUUUCAUGUCCUUCUGACG